rnacentral:rRNA from 1 species
AGGACAAACGCUGGCGGGGUGCAUGAGACAUGCAAGUCGAACGAGGUGCCAUCGGGCUUGCUCGAUGGUUACCUAGUGGCGGACGGCUGAGUAACGCGUAGGUGACCUACCCGGAAGUGGGGAAUAACUGCCCGAAAGGGUGGCUAAUACCGCAUGUGGUCGGCGAUUCGAUUCGCCGUCUAAAGGAGCAAUUCGCUUCCGGAGGGGCCUGCGUCCGAUUAGCUAGUUGGUGGGGUAACGGCUCACCAAGGCGACGAUCGGUAGCUGGUCUGAGAGGAUGAUCAGCCAGACUGGGACUGAGAACGGCCCAGACUCCUACGGGAGCAGCAGUCGGGAAUUUGCCCAAUGGACGAAAGUCUGAGGCAGGCAACGUCCGCGUGAGGAUGAAGGCUCUCGGGUACGUAAACCUUCUUUUCGCGUAGGAAGAGUACCGAAAGUACGGUAACCUGAAGGAAUAAGCGAACGGCUAACUACGUCGCCAGC